UCCUCUGGAGUUUAGUCGGUAGAACGGCGGACUGUUAAUCCGUAUGUCACUGGUUCGAGUCCAGUCAGAGGAGCCA
rnacentral:tRNA from 1 species